rnacentral:pre_miRNA from 1 species
AACCUACUCCCUCCGUUCGAAAUUACUUGUCUCAAAAAUAGAUGUAUCUAGAUGUAUUUUAGUUCUAGAUACAUCCAUUUUCGAGAUAAGUAAUUCCGAACGGAGGGAGUAUUUU